GUAAGAAGUAUCACAGUGAAUUCCACUAGUUUGUACAAGUAAUAUUUAUGUUACUGACAAAAAUAAUCAUGAGACUCUCUUGGCAUCCCCAUAUCCAGUGAAAAAUACGAUCAGUAACUGUAGCUAAUGUGGCCUGACAAGAGCGAGGCAGCCAUGGGCUUAUACUGCUCAGCAUGGAAGGUCUGAGUCACCUUAUUAGGCUAGAAAAGGUGCCGAAGGAUCGUGAGGGAAAUCUAAUAUUGGUGGUGGAAGGAGCUGAUAAAUGUCAAGUGCAGCUCCAGACCAGUUGCAGUAGCGAAGGCUGUCUUGUUUUAUCAGGUCACAUGUAGAGACUGGCUGAAGGCCACCUUGAAGCCUGAGAGGAAAAGAGAAGAAAAGGAGGAGUAUGCAGCUCGGACUGCCAACAAGGAAAUUAUUUUUGAAGGAUAGUUGAAAUGAACACAAAGUAGAAGAAAAAAUUUAGAAGGAAACCACAAUUUCGCAGGAAGUCUUAAAGAAGUAAACACCAUGCCCUUCCGCCCCUGGCAUAUUCAUAAA
rnacentral:lncRNA from 1 species